GAGGCGCCUUCGGGAGCCUCGCGCGGAAACGGGAAUAUGUCCUAUUAGGUAGUUGGCGGGGUAAAGGCCCACCAAGCCAAUGAUGGGUAGCUGGACUGAGAGGUUGAACAGCCGCAAUGGGAUUGAGAUAUGGCCCAUAUUCCUACGGGAAGCAGCAGUGAGGAAUUUUUCACAAUGGACGAAAGUCUGAUGGAGCAAUACCACGUGAGCGAUGAAGGUCUUCUGAUUGUAAAGCUCUUUUAUUUAGGAAAAAAAGCGCGCCAGGAAAUGGGCGCGCCUUGAUGGUACUAAUUGAAUAAGUGACAGCUAACUAUGUGCCAGCAGCUGCGGUAAAACAUAGGUCACAAGCAUUAUCCGGAUUUAUUGGGCGUAAAGGAAGCGUAGGCGGGGAGGUUGAUCCAUUGUUAAAGGCAUUUGCUCAACAAAUGUGUGCGAUGGAGAUCGCCUCCCUAGAGUUAAUCAGGGGGUACUGGAAUUCAAUGUGUAGCGGUGGAAUGCGUAGAUAUAUUGAGGAACACCAGAGGCUAAGGCGAGUACCUGGGAUAUAACUGACGCUGAGGCUUGAAAGCGUGGGGAGCAAAUGGGAUUAGAUACCCCAGUAGUCCACGCCGUAAACGAUGAGCAUUAGGUAUUUGACGUUACGUCGAGUGCUGUAGCUAACGCGUUAAAUGCUCCGCCUGGGUAGUAUAUAUGCAAAUAUGAAACUCAAAGAAAUUGACGGGGACCUGAACAAGUGGUGGAGCAUGUUGCUUAAUUCGAUAAUACACGAAAAACCUUACCAAGGCUUGUUAUCUACUGCAAAACUAUAGAAAUAUGGUGGAGUAUAUCAGUAAGACAGGUGGUGCAUGGCUGUCGUCAGCUCGUGUCUUGAGAUGUUUGGUUAAGUCCCGUAACGAGCGCAACCCUACUCUCUAGUUAAUUAGUUCUAGAGUGACUGAAUCGUAAGAUAUAGGAAGGAUGGGGCCAAGUCAAGUCAUCAUGCCCCUUAUGCCUUGGGCUGCAAACGUGCUACAAUGGUAGGUACAAUGUGUUGCAAUCUAGCGAUAGUG
rnacentral:rRNA from 1 species